CAUAACGAGGGCUUAACUGUCUCCCUUUUCCAGUCCAUGAAAUUGAUCUCCCCGUGCAGAAUCGGGGAUUAAAACAUAAGACGAGAAGACCCUAUGGAGCUUUAGACAAAGAGCAGACCAUGUUAAACCCCCCUAAAUAAAGGACAAAACCAAUUGGCCCCUGCCCUUAUGUCUUUGGUUGGGGCGACCGCGGGGAAACAAAAAACCCCCAUGUGGACUGAAGACAUUCCUCUUCACAACCAAGAGCCACAGCUCUAAGCAACAGAACAUCUGACCAACAAGAUCCGGCACUAAGCCGAUCAACGGACCGAGUUACCCUAGGGAUAACAGCGCAAUCUCCUUUUAGAGCCCCCAUCGACAAGGAGGUUUACGACCUCGAUGUUGGAUCAGGACAUCCUAAUGGUGCAGCCGCUAUUAAGGGUUCGUUUGUUCAACGAUUAAAGUCCUACGUGAUCUGAUUCCCAAACCGGAGAGAAAAAGUUUAUCAAAAGCAUAUACGUGAUCUGAUUUCAGACCGGAUUUUUUUAUUU
rnacentral:rRNA from 1 species